AAAUUACCAUUCUCAAGUAAGGAUAAUGUAGACGUCAGGUCAUUUAUAGUCUCAAAGAUUUGUCAGUAUACUUUAAAACAAUCCUGGGAACAGUUCUAUAUUGAAGGAGACUGAAAAAUCAUGAGCACUAGGUGGCGCUGGGGCUGGCAAGCACGUGGCAGAGGCGGUGCCGACGGGGGCUGCUGAGGCGGGCAGAGGGUUGGCGGCGCCUGGAAGCCUGUCACUGGCACGGUCCCUGUGGGGUGCUCGGCAACGGGCAUGUCGGUGGUGGGGCUGAAGAACCAUUUCUACAAGGCAAGCCAGCUGGUCAGUGAGAAGGUGGGAGGGGCUGAGGGGACCAAGCUGGAUGAUGACUUCAAAGAGAUGGAGAAGAAGGUGGAUGUCACCAGCAAGGCAGUGACGGAAGUGCUGGCCAGGACCAUCAAGUACCUGCAGCCCAACCCAAACCUCGCAGGUAAGCUGACCAUGCUCAACAUGGUGUCCGAGAUCCGGGGCCAGGUGAAGAACCCCAGCUAUCUGCAGUUGGAGGGGCUCCUGAGCGAGUGCCUGAUCUGCCACCUGAAGGAGCUGGGCGGUGAGUCCAACUUUGGUGACACACUGCUGGAUGUCGGCGAGUCCAUGAAGCACCUGGUGGAGGUGAAGGACUCCCUGGACAUAGAGGUCAAACAGAACUUCAUUGACCCCCUCCAGAACCUGUGCGAGAACAACCUGAAGGAGAUCCAGCACCACCAGUUGGAGGGCCGCCGCCUGGACUUUAACUAAAAGAAGAAGUGGCAGGGCAAGAUCCCCAAUGAGGAGCUGCGCCAGGUGCUGGAGGAGUUUGAGGAGUCCAAGGAGGUGGCAGAAACCAGCAUGCACAACCUCCUGGAGACCAAUAUCAAGCAGGUGAGUCAGCUCUCAACCCUGGUGGAGGCGCAGCUGGACUGCUACCAGCGGGCCAUGCAGAUCCCGGACAAGCUGGCAGAGAAGCCCAAGCGCAGAAUGCAGGAAGCUUCCUCAGGCUCCAAGCGGCAGUAUAAGCCCAAGUCCCGGGAGCCCUUUGACCUCGGAGAGCCUGAGCAGUCCAACGGGGGCUUCCCCAGCACCACAGUCCCCAAGAUCGCAGCUUCGUCUUUCCGAUCUUCCGACAAGCCCAUCUGGACUCCUAGCAGGAGCAUGCUGCCCCUAGACGAGCGGAGCUGCAAGGUGCUGUACAACUUCGAACCCUAGAACCAUGGGGAGCUGGGCUUCCAUGAGGGUGACGUCAUCACCUUGACCAACCAGAUCAACUACAACUGGUAUAGGGCAUGCUGGAUGGCCAGUCCGGCUUCUUCCUGCUCAGCUACAUGGACACGCUCGUGCCCCUGCUGCAGUGACUCGCCAGUGCCCCGCCCCUCUGUCCACACUGGGCGGCACCCCCUGCCGGGUCUUCUGCCUUCCACCGGGCUCCUACUGCUAGGAUGGUAUCCGAGCCUGCCGGUGCCACCCAGUCCCAGGUCCUCGAGGUACUCCCUGAGCAGGGAGCCACACUUGGGUGGGGGGCUUAUCUGGGUGGGUGGGGACGCCUGUUUACACUGGCGCUGACCCCCAACGGUGACAGCUCCCUUCCCUACUCCAUUGCGCCAGCCUCCUCCCUGCUCCCCAACUCCUUGCCCAGCUGGCCGAGGCGGGGCUAACCCUAAGGUGCUCUCACAAACACUAAUGUUCCACCGCGGCAGCACCCACCUCCAUCCUGACCCCACAGGGACCCGGCCCACUGCCUGCCCUCGAGUCCUGUGGCCUUAACAGGAUAACAUCGAGCGUCCCCGUGGGGUGGCUCAGAGACAGGACCUUGGUUUUAAAUCCUGUCCCAGCCUGGUGCUGGAGAUGGGCCCUGGCCCCACUCCAGGGCCACUGCACCCCUACCUCACACAUGCACUCCUUCUCCCCAAGGCCAGGGCAGAGGGCCUCACUGCUUCCCCUGCCUGCUGUCAGCUUGCAGCCCGGGGACAGAGGCCAGCUGGGAUCUGCCCCAGGACAGAGAACAUAGCCUCCUUCAGAGCCCCGCCUCCAAAGCCCCUCCCUCACAAAGCCAAGUACCUUUUCAGCUUUUCAACUGCCCCCAGCCAGGGCCACGGAGGCCUGUGUCACUCUGGCACAAGCUGCCACCACCAACCACCCACAUACACCCCAGCACACUUCGCACGGGACCACAGCCCCAGCCAUGCUGUUGAGGGCCAAGCACAAAGGCUCCAGUGAGCAAAUGUUAAAGCUCCUGGUGGCCAGGCCUCCACUUUCCCAGCCGCUACCACCCCACUCUGUGGGAAGUGGCCCUGACCAUCUCCUCUAGGCCACAGCAGGCAGCCUCGGGGUCUCCAGACCCCUGCCCAGACCAGCAGGUCCGCAGCCCCAACAUCUGCUUCCUCUGUCACCCGAUCCAAAAUCGAUGAAAUGGGGGGUCCUCUGGACUGGGCCACAUUCACAUUCCUCUCCCACUGUGGCCCAGCCUGAAGCCUCUGGACCCCAGACUCUGCUCUGCACCCACCUUGUCAGCAGUACAUGAAGGGCACAGACACCCUGGCAGAGAUGAGCACACAGCCUUGGACACGGUCCAGGGCAAAGUGAAAUGUGUGCCUGAAUUUUGUAAACAGAAGUAUUAAAUGUCUUUCUACAAAAAGAAAAAAAAAAUCAUGAACACUAAAUGUAAUGUCUGAUGUUUGGUGAUGUUUAAUUGGAUUCUUAACUUUUUAAGCCAUGAUAUGAUUAGGACAAUUGUGAAAAUGUGUAUAUGGACUACAUAGUAGACAAUGAUAAUAUUAAGUUCCAUUGGGUGAUGAUAGUAUUCUGGUUAUGUAGGAGAAUGCCUUGGUUCUUAGGGGCUGCACACUGAAGUCUUUAAUGGUGAAGGGUCAUUAUGUCUGCAACUGACUCUCAAAUGGCUUGUCCAGAAAAUGUAUAGAGAUACACACAUGGAAAGCAAAUGUGGCAAAGUAUUAGCAACUGUUGAUUCUAGAUGAAAGUUAUACAGGUGUUCAUUAGACCAUUUGAAAAUGCUUCCCAGCCAUCCUAAGGCUUAAAGAAAAAAGAAGAAAAUGUUUAAAAUCAAAAGUUGGGGGCAGGAAAAGAAUAACAAA